CCUACGGGAGGCAGCAGUGAGGAAUAUUGGUCAAUGGACGAGAGUCUGAACCAGCCAAGUAGCGUGAAGGAUGACUGCCCUAUGGGUUGUAAACUUCUUUUAUAUGGGAAUAAAAUGUUCCACGUGUGGGAUUUUGUAUGUACCAUAUGAAUAAGGAUCGGCUAACUCCGUGCCAGCAGCCGCGGUAAUACGGAGGAUCCGAGCGUUAUCCGGAUUUAUUGGGUUUAAAGGGAGCGUAGGUGGAUUGUUAAGUCAGUUGUGAAAGUUUGCGGCUCAACCGUACAAUUGCAGUUGAAACUGGCAGUCUUGAGUACAGUAGAGGUGGGCGGAAUUCGUGGUGUAGCGGUGAAAUGCUUAGAUAUCACGAAGAACUCCGAUUGCGAAGGCAGUUCACUGGACUGCAACUGACACUGAGGCUCGAAAGUGUGGGUAUCAAACAGGAUUAGAUACCCCUGUAGUC
rnacentral:rRNA from 1 species